rnacentral:lncRNA from 1 species
AAACAUGGAGAGGAGAGAACGUUCUGCAGCCCUGUCAGUAACCCUGCACAUAGCACUUUUGCGCCUUAUCGAGCAAAGGCCAGUCGUCGAGGACAGGUCUACUAGUACUGUAACACAAUAAAUGACAGCAAAAGAAAGGCCUAGGAUGAAAUUACUGCCUCAUUAAACACCAGCAACCAAGAUCAACUCCCUCUUACAGCCAAGCACCUCAAGAGGAGCUCCAACAUAAAAAGGAAACUAAAACCAGAGAUAUAGGAGAGCGGGUGGUGGUCCUCCAGAAAAACUAUCAUUAGCUUCAGAAGAAAUCGCCACCCAGUGCUCGUGUCAUGCGGAAGACUUCUGCAAGUGUACCUGAACUUCCUCACUCCCAUGAUUCUCUUGUUUUGCCAGUUCCAACACCAGGGCUAUCAACUGUGUCUUCUGCACCAUCUACUUCUGUUUUUCGACUUCUAAUUUCACCCUCUGUUCCUGCCUCACCAGUCAUUGUGAGAAAAGACAAGGGGAGUUCCACAAAUAUAAAUUGUACACAAUGAAAAGAGAGCAUGAGGAGGAACUGAAAGUGAAGGCCAUAAUAUCAGCACAUACACUCAAAGAAAGAUAAAGUGAAACUGUAAUUAGAGUGAUUGAAAAGACGCUUGAAAAAAUUAAUAAAUCUUUUGAAUUGUUAGAUACAUGUUUAAGGAAAGCAUCAACUGCAUAUGAUGCCAUGGCUAAAACUUAUGAAUGAUGGUUGAGUAAUAACAUACAGUCAUAUGCAAUGUUUAUGAUUUUACUAUAUACAGGGGUACUGUGAUAUAUCGUAAAGUGGCAUCUAGAUUAUAAAUUUAUUUUCUUAUGUCUUACACCUUAAAAUAAUUUUAUUUAAAGGAAAUAAAUCUACAUUUCUUUAUUUUGCCAUUGUUUACAAUUGCUGUCUUAAGUAUGGCAGCUAAGAUUUUUUUUUUUUUAUGAUAUACAGGUAUGCUGUGAUUUUCAAUAAUUGCAAUUCUUUUUACUGUGCUAUAGACUAAAGUUCUUUUUUUUGGGGGGGGUAGAUUUAUAAUACAAGUUGUUAUAUGCAAAGUAAUGGAUAUAGGAGAUUUUUAGUUUAUUAAUUUUUAUGCAUUCAUAUAUAAUUUAAUUUAAGAGAAAAUUUGUCUCCGCAUUUCUAUUUUGUGCAAAUAUUGUACAAAGUAUGGCAGUUCAGAUUUUUUUUAUGUAUAUCUAUAAUAUAAGCUGUGAUAUUAAUGAAAUGCAGAGUCCUGUAUAGAAAAAAUAAUUUUUAUUUUCUUAAUUUUUGCACAUUUAGAAAAAAUAAAUCUAUAUUUCUU